AUUGAACGCUGGCGGCAGGCCUAACACAUGCAAGUCGAGCGGAGCGGCGGACGGGUGAGUAAUGCCUAGGAAUCUGCCUGGUAGUGGGGGAUAACGUCCGGAAACGGUAGCUAAUACCGCAUACCAUCGGAUGUGCCCAGAUCGGAUUAGCUAGUAGGUGGGGUAAAGGCUCACCAAGGCGACGAUCCCUAGCUGGUCUGAGAGGAUGACCAGUCACACUGGAACUGAGACACGGGCCAGACUCCUACGGGAGGCAGCAGUGGGGAAUAUUGGACAAUGGGCGAAAGCCGGAUGCAGCCAUGCCGCGUGUGUGAAGAAGGUCUUCGGGUUGUAAAGUACUUUCAGCUGGGAGGCGUUACCCACAGAAGAAGCACCGGCUAACUCCGUGCCAGCAGCCGCGGUAAUUC
rnacentral:rRNA from 1 species